rnacentral:tRNA from 1 species
GAGGGUAUAGCUCAGUGGUAAGAGUACAUACUUAGCAUGCACAAGGUCCUGGGUUCAAUCCCUAGUGCUGUCA